rnacentral:rRNA from 1 species
GAUGAACGCUGGCGGCGUGCCUAAUACAUGCAAGUCGAGCGAACAGACGAGGAGCUUGCUCCUCUGACGUUAGCGGCGGACGGGUGAGUAACACGUGGAUAACCUACCUAUAAUACUGGGAUAACUUCGGGAAACCGGAGCUAAUACCGGAUAAUAUAUUGAACCGCAUGGUUCAAUAGUGAAAGACGGUUUUGCUGUCACUUAUAGAUGGAUCCGCGCCGCAUUAGCUAGUUGGUAAGGUAACGGCUUACCAAGGCAACGAUGCGUAGCCGACCUGAGAGGGUGAUCGGCCACACUGGAACUGAGACACGGUCCAGACUCCUACGGGAGGCAGCAGUAGGGAAUCUUCCGCAGUGGGCGAAAGCCUGACGGAGCGACGCCGCGUGAGUGAUGAAGGUCUUCGGAUCGUAAAACUCUGUUAUUAGGGAAGAACAAAUGUGUAAGUAACUAUGCACGUCUUGACGGUACCUAAUCAGAAAGCCACGGCUAACUACGUG